UCGAGAAUUUUUCUCAAUGGGGGAAACCCUGAAGGAGCGACGCCGCGUGGAGGAUGAAGGUCUUCGGAUUGUAAACUCCUGUCAUUUGGGAACAAUUGCAGGCGAUUAACUGUCGUCUGUUUGAUAGUACCAGAAGAGGAAGAGACGGCUAACUCUGUGCCAGCAGCCGCGGUAAUACAGAGGUCUCAAGCGUUGUUCGGAUUCAUUGGGCGUAAAGGGUGCGUAGGUGGCGGGGUAAGUCUGGUGUGAAAUCUCGGAGCUCAACUCCGAAACUGCACUGGAUACUGCCUUGCUCGAGUACUGGAGAGGAGAUUGGAAUUUACGGUGUAGCAGUGAAAUGCGUAGAUAUCGUAAGGAAGACCAGUGGCGAAGGCGAAUCUCUGGACAGUUACUGACACUGAGGCACGAAGGCCAGGGGAGCAAACG
rnacentral:rRNA from 1 species